GACGCAGACCCGCCGGAGAUCGGGCGCGAUGGCGGCUCUCUCCGCCUGCGCGCGUGAGCCGCCGCGGCCGCGGGAGACAGGCGCAGUGGAUGGCCGCGUCGGCUUCGGCGGAUUACUUUCGGAUGCACCUCCGGCCACUCCCUCCUUGGCUCCACCGUGCGAACACUUACGGCGAUUGUAAAGGAAAUGCUUUUCAAAGGAACAGUGAAACAAGUUUGAGAUAGCAAAGGUUUGAAAUGACUUAACUUUAAACAUUUGGAGACAUCUAUCGACAUCACAUUCAGAUUUCUCUCAGAUCAAACAUCAGGGAUUUUAAUUGCAAAGGUUGUCUUUUUGUGAUGAGCGCCAUGGUUUUGGGUGUGUACGACUUGAGAACAUUUUUAAGAAGCUGAAGAAAAGAGAGAUAAAUUGAAAGUAACAUAGAUGAGGUAGCUUGAGCUGAAAACAAAAGUAGAACAAUUGCAGUCCUCCUAAUUUGGAAUAAUUGAUGCAAGUUUGAAACCAUUACCUGUGUGUAUUGAAAGAAGAUAUGGAAUUUUCUUCAUUCAUAAUUAUAAGAGAAUCAACUGAAAUCACAUUAAAUGCUACUUAUAUAUUCAAUGUUAUUUUUUCUUGAUUAAUUCAAUUGGUUUUAUUCCCAUAAUUUUUAUACUUAUUGUAUUGUAGUUUUAAACGAGAAUUUAACAGAACCUUUACC